rnacentral:rRNA from 1 species
UUCCGUAGGUGAACCUGCGGAGGGAUCAUUACACAACAAAAUAUGAAGGCCUUGGCUUCGCGGCCGGCUGAAAUAUUUUUUUCACCCAUGUCUUUUGCGCACUUGUUGUUUCCUGGGCGGGUUCGCCCGCCACCAGGACCAAACCAUAAACCUUUUUUUUAUGCAGUUGCAAUCAGCGUCAGUAAAAACAAUGUAAUUAUUACAACUUUCAACAACGGAUCUCUUGGUUCUGGCAUCGAUGAAGAACGCAGCGAAAUGCGAUACGUAGUGUGAAUUGCAGAAUUCAGUGAAUCAUCGAAUCUUUGAACGCACAUUGCGCCCUUUGGUAUUCCAAAGGGCAUGCCUGUUCGAGCGUCAUUUGUACCUUCAAGCUUUGCUUGGUGUUGGGCGUUUUUUGUCUCCCUCUUUCUGGGAGACUCGCCUUAAAACGAUUGGCAGCCGGCCUACUGGUUUCGGAGCGCAGCACAUAUUUUGCGUUUGUAUCAGGAGAAAAGGACGGUAAUCCAUCAAGACUCUACAUUUUUAACUUUUGACCUCGGAUCAGGUAGGGAUACCCGCUGAACUUAAGCAUAUCAAUAAGCGGAGGAAA